rnacentral:rRNA from 1 species
ACCUGCGGAAGGAUCAUUAACGAGUUUUGAAAGCGGGAGAGUCUGUUGCUGGCAUGUGUUCUUCGCAUGCAUGUGCACGGCACCCGUAACUCAAUCCACUCAACCCCUGUGCACUUUAUAUGGGAGCUAGUAGUCAGUGGUUGUUCCGUUAUGUCUUAUGUUAGUUAGUAGUCGAAAGGCGAACACUUGAGAACAGACGGAGUAAUUGCCGGCGAACACUUCAAUAUUAUUAUAAACCCAUUCUAUUGUCAUGUUGAAUGUAUAGCUCCUUGUGGGCGAAAUAAAAUACAACUUUCAACAACGGAUCUCUUGGCUCUCGCAUCGAUGAAGAACGCAGCGAAAUGCGAUAAGUAAUGUGAAUUGCAGAAUUCAGUGAAUCAUCGAAUCUUUGAACGCACCUUGCGCCCUUUGGUAUUCCGAGGGGCAUGCCUGUUUGAGUGUCAUGUUCAUCUCAACUUCCUUGUUUAUUACACUUGGAUGUUGGACUUGGAGGUGUUGCUGGCCCCCCCUGCCUCUGGUUGUGUGGGGGUCGGCUCCUCUUAAAUGUAUUAGCUGGGCUUUGGCUCGCGUUGAUGGUGUAAUAG